AGCGAACGCUGGCGGCAGGCUUAACACAUGCAAGUCGAGCGCCCCGCAAGGGGAGCGGCAGACGGGUGAGUAACACGUGGGAACGUACCCUUCAGUUCGGAACAACCCAGGGAAACUUGGGCUAAUACCGGAUACGUCCGUAAGGAGAAAGAUUUAUCGCUGAAGGAUCGGCCCGCGUCUGAUUAGCUAGUUGGUGAGGUAAUGGCUCACCAAGUCUACGAUCAGUAGCUGGUCUGAGAGGAUGAUCAGCCACAUUGGGACUGAGACACGGCCCAAACUCCUACGGGAGGCAGCAUGGGGGAAUAUUGGACAAUGGGGGCAACCCUGAUCCAGCCAUGCCGCGUGAGUGAUGAAGGCCCUAGGGUUGUAAAGCUCUUUUAGCAGGGAAGAUAAUGACGGUACCUGCAGAAAAAGCCCCGGCUAACUUCGUGCCAGCCGCCGCAGUAA
rnacentral:rRNA from 1 species